ACAUAACGGUUCCGUGCACUUCCCGAAGGAAGGAUAACUGCUUCCGCCUUCCAUCUCGCGCAUGUAUACCUUCAAAAAGCGGGCCACAGCGUCGCUCAGUGGACAUAUCUGAACAGUCAGGUCUUCCAACAUGAUAUCCCACUGUUCGCUCCUGAUGAUUCUGGACAUUUUCCCGUGUUGUAAUAAUUACUUUAAUGAUCUGCAAAUUGAUUUAUAAUCGAAAAACCGAAGCAGCAUUGGCUACUCAAUUAGAAUACUGGGUUAUUAUGUCCAUGUUUUUUUUAAUGUUCGGUGGAUUUACUUUUGAAGGCCCAAAUUGAAGUUUCAGGAAACGUUCAAGGAUCGAGGGUAGUUCUACCCAGCAUUGCAAGCAACAAUUUAAACUUACAAUAGGACCAUAAAGCGUUUUCCCCAAUCAGACUGGAUGGGAGGCAGCUGAGAAAUGAACAUAUUACUGGGGAGGUUAGGUAGUGACAGAUACCUGAUGCCAGUUUCAUCAGUCAGCUGGGGACGACAAGUGAAUUGAAUUCCCCCAAAGUGCCUGUCCAUUUCCUGUCUGUGUGCGACGAGCAGCGAGGCUGCUGGGAGAAGCUCAGAUUCACUCUGUCUUUCAAUGCAUUUUACACACUUACAAAACGUGACAGCACAUAUUUCAAAUAAAAAGAUUAGAAACUUAACUGAUACAUUUUUGUUGUUGCAAUGCUCAAAAUAUAAUAUUUUAACCUUCAAUGACUACAAAAUAGUGCAGCACCAAGUGUGAUUGAAUAUAGUAUUAUUGUAUAAACACCAUUCUUUCUUCAACCAAUGCACUAUAC